AUUGAACGCUGGCGGCAGGCUUAACACUUGCAAGUCGAGCGGGGUGAUGGCGCUUGCACUAUCACUUAGCGGCGGACGGGUGAGUAAUGCUUAGGAAUCUGCCUAUUAGUGGGGGACAACAUCUCGGAAGGGAUGCUAAUACCGCAUACGUCCUACGGGAGAAAGCAGGGGAUCACUUGUGACCUUGCGCUAAUAGAUGAGCCUAAGUCGGAUUAGCUAGUUGGUGGGGUAAAGGCCUACCAAGGCGACGAUCUGUAGCGGGUCUGAGAGGAUGAUCCGCCACACUGGGACUGAGACAGGGCCCAGACGCCUACGGGAGGUAGCAGUGGGGAAUAUUGGACAAUGGGGGGAACCCUGAUCCAGCCAUGCCGCGUGUGUGAAGAAGGCCUUAUGGUUGUAAAGCACUUUAAGCGAGGAGGAGGCUCUUUUGGUUAAUACCCAAGAUGAGUGGACGUUACUCGCAGAAUAAGCACCGGCUAACUCUGUGCCAGCCGCCGCAGUAA
rnacentral:rRNA from 1 species